AGAGCUGAUCAAGGGAACCUCAACAAACAACCCCAGCCAUGGAGGCGGCGGUGUCUUUGAAGACCCCAUGAGAGCAUCAAACAAGGGAGAGAGCCUGGAACAAAUCAUGGUAGUAAAAUGGCGGCAGAGAGCUAGUAAUGUGUCUGCAAUUGGUGGGUUCUUGGUCGCACUGACUUCAAGAAUGAAGCCGCGGACCCUCACGGCUACUCCUGACUGACCAUCACAUAAAAGAAUACAAAACAAUCUGAAAGUCAACCAAGGAAAUAGUAAUCAAGAAUAAUUCUGAAUAGACGUAAUUUCUACUUUAUGCAUGACUGUAAACCUUAACUUCACUGAACUAGACCAGGGAAUUGGCUUUCGCAUUGCUUGUUGGGCUUUUAAACCAGUGAAUGGAAAGAAUAAAAAGUUUUCUCCACACAACUUCUCGGAAGAGAUCUGCCCUGUGAUCUGCAAUGUCCUGACGUUCAAACUUCUAAGUCAUCUGUGGAGACCGCUCAACUGAUUCCAAGUGGAAGUACUAAGACUGUCAUUUCAGAAUGCUGCAGAAGCGACACCCUGCCACUUGUGCUUUUGUGAUCCUAGCCACCAGUAAGAAGCCCUGUGACCUUGCUGAGACCCUGAAGAGACCACAUAGAGAGGCCACUUGAAGGGCAAGGGGUCCUGACUCUACAUGGAGAGAGAAGCCCAGCCAUCCCUGUUUCCCAGCUGAGUCCUGACCAGAUAACUCACUACAAGACUGACCACAGGCAAGAACAGCAGAAGAGCUGCCCAGCUGAGCCCAUCCAAGAGUGCAGAAUUUCAAAGAACUCAGAAUGAAGGGGCCUCAGGUUACCUGCA
rnacentral:lncRNA from 1 species